UCGGACUGCAGGCUGCAACCCGCCUGCACGAAGCCGGAGUUGCUAGUAAUCGCGAAUCAGAAUGUCGCGGUGAAUGCGUUCCCGGGUCUUGUACACACCGCCCGUCACACCAUGGAAGUUGGGGGUGCCCAAAGCCGGCAAGCAAAUAUGCUGUCUAAGGCAAAACCAAUGACUGGGGUGAAGUCGUAACAAGGUACC
rnacentral:rRNA from 1 species